GGGUUUCACUCCUGGAUGUUACCGGUUCAUCCGGUCGAGACCGGACGGGUUUUGGUGUCUGAUUCGGUACGAAUCGGGAGCACCUCUGCGUAGGCUUGAGGUUUAAGGCUCGCGCCGCCUACGGUCUUGGAUAGCCCCCGCCAGGCAGGGACCCCAAUCUUGCAGACCGCCCCGCGAACGGGGCGG
rnacentral:sRNA from 1 species